rnacentral:ncRNA from 1 species
CUCAUCAAGAGUAGUGGAGGGAAAGGCCCGUUGAAGCUACAGCAACCCUUUAUUAAAGAAGGUGCUAAAUCCGACAGUCAAGUACUGAUAGAUG